GCCAGGUAUGGUGGUGCAUGCCUUUAAUCCCAGUACUCAGGAGACAGGGGCUGGCAGAUCUCAGUGAGUUUGAGGCCAGGCUGGUCUACAAAGUGAGUUCCAGGCCAGCCAGGGCUACAUAGAGAGACCUUGUCUCAAACAACAAUAGUGUAAUAGUCCUAGCUGUCCUGGAACUCGCUUUGUAGACCAGCCUGGCCUCAAACUCACUGAGAUCUGCCUGCCUCAU
rnacentral:sRNA from 1 species